rnacentral:rRNA from 1 species
UCGUCAGCUUACCCUGUGAAGGUAAUAAAAGUAAGCAAAAUGAGUACAACCCAGAACGUCAGGUCGAGGUGUAGCGCAUGAAGUGGAAAGAAAUGGGCUACAUUUUCUACCUAUAGAAUACCACGAAUAUGCACCAUGAAACAGUGCUUAAAGGAGGAUUUAGCAGUAAAAGGGAAAUAGAGUGUCCCUUUGAAUCCGGCUCUGAGACGCGUACACACCGCCCGUCACUCUCCCCAUCAAAACGCAAUAAAAAUAUCUAAUACCAUAGCAUCAACAAGGGGAGGCAAGUCGUAACACGGUAAGUGUACCGGAAGGUGCACUUGGACCAAACC